AUUGGCUCUGUCUUGACUCACCUCUUUGUGUUUCAGAGUGUGAUCCUGUCCAGCGCCGCGGAGAAGGUUGGUGAUGAUAUGUGCAGCAUGUUCAGUCAUAAAUAAUAAUUAAAUUUGUCUGUAUGUCCUCAGCCUCUGGAGCUCAGAGGGCCAAUAUGACAUCACCAACCUAGGUUUGUCAGACGGAGAAGCAAAGGAAGCCGCUUCCUCUACCUGUCGAUCCGUUGUUCUACACACAGAAACCAGGAAGACGGCGAGUGGGAUCCAAUGGUGGGAUCUAUGGUGGGAUCAUGUAAACCAUGAAGAGCUGCAGCGAUUGGCCGCCUGCAGACUAUAAGCCCCGCCUCCAUCACUUGAGACAGAAGAGCAGCUGGUUAAUGAGUGAUCGAUGUUCCAGUUGUGCUUCUGUGUUUCUACCCUAAACAGGUGAAGCUCCCGCAGCCAAGCGAGCCAAGCCUCAGCUGACAGAGUGACAGACAGCUGAGGAGGGCGGGGCUUCUGGACACAUUUCUUAUUCUUACAAACUGUUUUUUAAUAAAGUUUUUGAAACACGAGUCAAAAAUUCAAU